UACGUAGGGUGCAAGCGUUAAUCGGAAUUACUGGGCGUAAAGCGUGCGCAGGCGGUUAUGUAAGACAGUUGUGAAAUCCCCGGGCUCAACCUGGGAAUUGCAUCUGUGACUGCAUAGCUAGAGUACGGUAGAGGGGGAUGGAAUUCCGCGUGUAGCAGUGAAAUGCGUAGAUAUGCGGAGGAACACCGAUGGCGAAGGCAAUCCCCCUGGACCUGUACUGACGCUCAUGCACGAAAGCGUGGGGGAGCAAACAGGGAU
rnacentral:rRNA from 1 species